ensembl:lncRNA
GAAAGCAGCAGGCUGGCAGCAGAGGGGGUGAGCUCCUGCCUGCUCCUGCUGUCCUGCAUCCUUCUGCCCCACAGCUUUCCUCUCUUGCUACAGUGGGUGGGAGAAUGCCGGCAAGAUGUUGUAGGCCUCUUCUCCCAGGUAACAGAGGCUUAGUGGGAAGUGGGAACACUAGAAGCCUUCUCCCUUUCCUACUCUUUGGCUCUGCAUCUUGGUUCUGAGAGGUCCCUCCAAGGCAUCCAUCUGCUCCUGGCAAACACCAUUCCAACACCUGUGAUCCAGAUGUACACAGCUGCAUGGAAGGUGUUGUUUCUGAUCCAGCCUUAAUGUGAACCAUGCUUAAGAAUGGUUACAAAUGGCUCCAUAAAAAAGACAAAAUGCAUAGCACAGAAACUGCUGAGAAGAGCAUGAUUUUUGUUUUCUUUUGGGACCCACCAUGAGUUGGAUGGCAGCUCAGGGGCAUCGGGGGACUUUGAUCUGGAGAUGCAUUAGUGAGCUUGAACGCUAGAACUCGUCUCUCCUGAGGAUGUUCCUGACUGUUCCCGUGCAUCUGGAGGCGCUACUGCUGGUGGAGUUCUACUAGAUGGAGGUCUGCAAAUGAGCAGGCUGUUGACCAAUGGGUUUAUUCCUUAUUUUUACAUUUUUUUUUGUCCGAUGUAUGCACAAGAACUACCAGAUGGAUCUAUCACAUCUCCUGGAACUUCACAGUUUUGAUUUGGUAGCACUAACAUGACUGCAGACAAUCUUACUUAAGGUCAUAGAAGCGAAGUCACUGCACAGCUACUGGGAGGAGCAGUUUAUUUAGAAGACAAGCAACCUUACGAGUUGCUUGUCAUAAAUGAGAUUUAGUUGUUUUUUCUGCAAAACAGUGAAAAAGCUGCUUCCUCUUGGUCUCUCCUGUGAUGCUCCUAUGUCAGACAAGAUGGUAAUCUGCAUAAAUCAAAAUUUAUAUAGCCUUUCAAACUUCAAAGCAGGUGAUGUUUCAACUUACUAUGCCAAGGAUGGAAUCGUUUGGAACCAGAACCUGUCUCCGCGCACAGAAGGACGCCAAUGAACUCUCUCCUUCGUAACAGGUGAUAAAUGAUUUUAGUAUUUAAGCAAGGUGUCUGCCUUCACCUGGAAAAUCAGAAUUGGCAAAGCUACUUAAAGAAAUUUGCUUAUAUAGAGAUGUCAGUGUGUGUUAUGAGCAGUCUGUGCUGAACGAAGAUAUUCUUCAGUUCCUUACUGUAUAGAUAGAGCUGGUCUCUUGAGUUUGGCAGAUCAGGACAUUAAGACAAAUGGAUUUGAUUUACAACUACAGAGAAUCUAAAUCAUAAUUUUCAUAUUGUAAAACUCCAGAAGAGAUUAUUUCUGUUUUCUGUCAGUGUUGUUUUCUGCAGGAAAUUACAGAAUAAAUGCAAAUUAUAUGUUCUGU